CAUUUGAAAAGUUGAAAUCUGUAAUUCAUC
rnacentral:piRNA from 1 species